rnacentral:rRNA from 1 species
GAUGAACGCUGGCGGCGUGCCUAAUACAUGCAAGUCGAGCGAACGGACGAGAAGCUUGCUUCUCUGAUGUUAGCGGCGGACGUGUGAGUAACACGUGGAUAACCUACCUAUAAGACUGGGAUAACUUCGGGAAACCGUAGCUAAUACCGGAUAAUAUUUUGAACCGCAUGGUUCAAAAGUGAAAGACGUUCUUGCUGUCACUUAUAGCUGGUUCCACGCUGCAUUAGAUAGUUGGUAAGGUAACGGCUUACCAAGGCAACGAUGCAUAGCCGACCUGAGAGGGGGAUCGGCCAAACUGGAACUGAGACACGGUACAGAAGACUACGGGAGGAAGCAGUAGGGAAUCUUCCGCAAAGGGCGAAAGCCUGACGGAGAAACGCCGCGGGAGUGAUGAAGGUCUUCGGAUCGUAAAACUCUGUUAUUAGGGAAGAACAAAUGUGUAAGUAAAUGUGCACAGCGUGACGGUACCUAAUCAGAAAGCCACGGCUAACUACGUG